GAUGAACGCUGGCGGCGUGCCUAAUACAUGCAAGUCGAGCGAACAGAUGAGGAGCUUGCUCCUCUGACGUUAGCGGCGGACGGGUGAGUAACACGUGGAUAACCUACCUAUAAGACUGGGAUAACUUCGGGAAACCGGAGCUAAUACCGGAUAAUAUAUUGAACCGCAUGGUUCAAUAGUGAAAGACGGUUUUGCUGUCACUUAUAGAUGGAUCCGCGCCGCAUUAGCUAGUUGGUAAGGUAACGGCUUACCAAGGCAACGAUGCGUAGCCGACCUGAGAGGGUGAUCGGCCACACUGAAACUGAGACACGGUCCAGACUCCUACGGGAGGCAGCAGUAGGGAAUCUUCCGCAAAGGGCGAAAGCCUGACGGAGCAACGCCGCGUGAGUGAUGAAGGUCUUCGGAUCGUAAAACUCUGUUAUUAGGGAAGAACAAAUGUGUAAGUAACUAUGCACGUCUUGACGGUACCUAAUCAGAAAGCCACGGCUAACUACGUG
rnacentral:rRNA from 1 species